GACAGAGGUGCCAAGCGUUAGGCGGAAUCACUGGGCUUAAAGCGUGUGUAGGCGGGUGCCUAAGUACCUUGUGAAAUCCCACGGCUCAACCGUGGAACUGCUGGGUAUACUGGGUGCCUUGGGUCAUCUAGGGGCUGCCGGAACAAAUGGUGGAGCGGUGAAAUGCGUAGAUAUCGGAAGGAACACCAGUGGCGAAAGCGGCUUCCUGGUCCAGCACCGACGUUCAGGCACGAAAGCGUGGGGAGCAAACAGG
rnacentral:rRNA from 1 species